GGGAUCUCCCGGGUUUGAUCUCACACGGUUAACAAUUUCUUGAACACUCAGAGAGGGCACCUUUGCUUGAGUGGAAGGAAUUGAAUUAUCACCAUCCAACUCUGAGGGUGGUGCAACUCCCCCAUGCUCCUCCAGAGCUUCCUGUCUUCCAGCAAUUGUAUCUACAGCCUCUUCUGGAAGCAAAGUAAUCAUUGCCAUACGAGCUGCUGAAAGAAGAUGAAUGAUGGAGAAUGAAAAGCCAGUAUGAACUGUAGGAGUAAUCAAAGUGAAUGGCUUUUUUUGAGGUCGACUUUCCACAUCUACAUCUUCUACUACCAUUUCUGAAGUUGGGGAUCUGGGAACUCCCACUAAAGGAGGCCAUGUUUCAUCCUCCAGCUUCUUUUUACCCCGCUUCACUGAGAGGUCAUCUUGUCGCUGCUGGGUAUCAGAAUAGAGAGGGUCAGUAUCAUCUAGCUCAUAUGGGACAUCAACUUUGACUUUCCGCUUCUUCAUGACUGAGUUGCAACCUGUUAAAUGCAUAUCAGAUUUUUCAUGGUGAUCGAGAGCACUUGUGUCAAGCAUCUGACCUUUCUUUGAAAACUUGGAAGAAACUCCAUUCCUUUUGGCCGGCAACCGUG
rnacentral:misc_RNA from 1 species